rnacentral:rRNA from 1 species
AAUAAACGUUGGCGGCGUGCUUAACACAUGCAAGUCGAGCGAGAAAGGUCUUCGGACUGAGUACAGCGGCAAACGGGUGCGUAACACGUGGGAAUCUACCUUUUAGUGAAGAAUACCCUCGAGAAAUCGAGGUUAAUACUGCAUACGUCUCGCAAGAGAGAAAGAUGGCCUCUUUGCUGUCGCUGAAAGAUGAGCCUGCGGUCUAUUAGCUUGUUGGUGGGGUAAAAGCCUACCAAGGCGACGAUGGAUAGCCGGCCUGAGAGGGUGUACGGCCACACUGGAACUUAGACACGGUCCAGACUCCUACGGGAGGCAGCAGUGAGGAAUAUUGCGCAAUGGGCGAAAGCCUGACGCAGCGACGCCGCGUGGAGGAUGAAGGUCUUAGGAUUGUAAACUUCUGUUAAGUGGGAAGAAAAGUACUGUUUUAAUACAACAGUAAAAUGACGGUACCGCUAAAGAAAGCACCGGCUAACUUCGUGCCAGCAGCCGCGGUAAUGUCAGUG